GACGAACGCUGGCGGCAUGCCUAAUACAUGCAAGUCGAGCGGAGUUGAUAGAAAGCUUGCUUUCUUGAUACUUAGCGGCGGACGGGUGAGUAACACGUAGGCAACCUGCCCUCAAGCUUGGGACAACUACCGGAAACGGUAGCUAAUACCGAAUACUUGUUUUCUUCGCCUGAAGGAAACUGGAAAGACGGAGCAAUCUGUCACUUGGGGAUGGGCCUGCGGCGCAUUAGCUAGUUGGUGAGCUAACGGCUCACCAAGGCGACGAUGCGUAGCCGACCUGAGAGGGUGAUCGGCCACACUGGGACUGAGACACGGCCCAGACUCCUACGGGAGGCAGCAGUAGGGAAUCUUCCGCAAUGGGCGAAAGCCUGACGGAGCAAUGCCGCGUGAGUGAUGAAGGUUUUCGGAUCGUAAAGCUCUGUUGCCAGGGAAGAACGCUUGGGAGAGUAACUGCUCCCAAGGUGACGGUACCUGAGAAGAAAGCCCCGGCUAACUACGUGCCAGCAGCCGCAGUAA
rnacentral:rRNA from 1 species